rnacentral:rRNA from 1 species
CAGCAGCCGCGGUAAUACAGAGGGUGCGAGCGUUAAUCGGAAUUACUGGGCGUAAAGCGCGCGUAGGCGGUUAUUUAAGUCAGAUGUGAAAUCCCCGGGCUCAACCUGGGAACUGCACCUGAUACUGGGUAACUAGAGUUUAGGAGAGGGAAGUAGAAUUUCAGGUGUAGCGGUGAAAUGCAUAGAUAUCUGAAGGAAUACCAGUGGCAAAGGCGACUUCCUGGCCUAAAACUGACGCUGAGGUGCGAAAGCGUGGGUAGCAAACGGGAUUAGAUACCCCGGUAGUCCACGCCGUAAACGAUGUCAACUAGUCGUCGGGUCCCUUGAGGAUUCGGUGACGCAGCUAACGCAUUAAGUUGACCGCCUGGGGAGUACGGUCGCAAGACUAAAACUCAAAGGAAUUGACGGGGGCCCGCACAAGCGGUGGAGCAUGUGGUUUAAUUCGAUGCAACGCGAAGAACCUUACCAUCCCUUGACAUCCGGAGAAUUUGCAAGAGAUUGCUUAGUGCCUUCGGGAACUCCGUGACAGGUGCUGCACGGCUGUCGUCAGCUCGUGUCGUGAGAUGUUGGGUUAAGUCCCGCUACGAGCGCAACCCCUAUCCUUGGUUGCUAACAGGUAAUGCUGAGAACUCCAGGGAGACUGCCGGUGACAAACCGGAGGAAGGUGGGGACGACGUCAAGUCAUCAUGGCCCUUAUGGGAUGGGCUACACACGUGCUACAAUGGUCAGUACAGAGGGUCGCAAACUUGCGAGAGUAAGCUAAUCCCACAAAGCUGGUCGUAGUCCGGAUUGGAGUCUGCAACUCGACUCCAUGAAGUUGGAAUCGCUAGUAAUCGUGGAUCAGAAUGCCACGGUGAAUACGUUCCCGGGCCUUGUACACACCGCCCGUCACACCAUGGGAGUGGGCUGCAAAAGAAGUAGGUAGACUAACCUUCGGGAUGUCGCUUACCACUUUGUGGUUCAUGACUGGGGUGAAGUCGUAACAAGGUAACCGUA